rnacentral:lncRNA from 1 species
CAUUGUGAUAAAAUAUAUGCAUAUUGAUGGGAGAAUUCUAAUUAUUUGAAUUCGCAUGUUUGGAUUGGGCUCCUGAAUUUUCUUAUAAUUGUUGGAGAUUAUUGGAUGUGUUAAUCUAAAACUCGAGCCUAGAUUUAAGAUUUGAGCAGGGAUCUUUUGUCAUUGUUGAUGAAGCCACUAAUAGAUGUCAUAUUGAGUAGAGACUUCGGUCAUGAGAUGCUUACAUGAAUUAUCAUAUAUAGCAUUGUUGAUGGAUGUUAAGAAUCUUGGUGAAGAAAGAUCUGGAGAUCGAUAGAGUUAAUUCCUACUCAUAGUGGUAUUGGCUCAAUAGAUCUAACCUAUUGAAUUUGAAGUAAAUUCUGUUGGAAGGAAAAUCAAUGUAGAUUUUCUAAUUAAAUUGCUAAGGGAAUACAAGAAUUACCCCCUUUAAAUUAAACUUAGAUAUUUUUGGAUUCUAAGAAGGUUGUGGAGAUCACGUAGUGACCUUAAACUUGACUAAAGGAUUGGGGGUUAGUUAU